CACGGGUGAGUAACGCGUAUCCAACCUGCCGUCUACUCUUGGACAGCCUUCUGAAAGGAAGAUUAAUACAAGAUGGCAUCAUGAGUCCGCAUGUUCACAUGAUUAAAGGUAUUCCGGUAGACGAUGGGGAUGCGUUCCAUUAGAUAGUAGGCGGGGUAACGGCCCACCUAGUCUUCGAUGGAUAGGGGUUCUGAGAGGGAGGUCCCCCACAUUGGAACUGAGACACGGUCCAA
rnacentral:rRNA from 1 species